CGCGUAGGUGGCCAAUUAAGUCAAUGUGAAAUCCCGAGCUUAACUUGGGAAUUGCAUUCGAUACUGGUUGGCUAGAGUAUGGGAGAGGAUGGUAGAAUUCCAGGUGUAGCGGUGAAAUGCGUAGAGAUCUGGAGGAAUACCGAUGGCGAAGGCAGCCAUCUGGCCUAAUACUGACACUGAGGUGCGAAAAGCAUGGGGAGCAAACA
rnacentral:rRNA from 1 species